AACGGCCGUACCAUGCUGAAUAUACCGGUUCUCGUUAGAUCACCGAAGUCAAGCAUCAUUGGGCGCGGUCAGUACUUGGGUUGACCGGGGAA